GAUGAAGAACGUAGCGAAAUGCGAUACGUAAUGUGAAUUGCAAAUUCAGUGAAUCAUCGAGUCUUUGAACGCACAUUGCGCCCCCUGGUAUUCCGGGGGGCAUGCCUGUCCGAGCGUCAUUGCUGCCCUCAAGCACGGCUUGUGUGUUGGGCCCCGUCCUCCGAUUCCGGGGGACGGGCCCGAAAGGCAGCGGCGGCACCGCGUCCGGUCCUCGAGCGUAUGGGGCUUUGUCACCCGCUCGGGACGGACUCGUCGGCGCUGGUCUUCCUCCAGGCGACCCUUCGGGGCUCGUCUUCCUUCGGUUGACCUCGGAUCAGGUAGGGUUACCCGCUGAACUUAAGCAUAUCAAUAAGCGGAGGA
rnacentral:misc_RNA from 1 species